UCUCCAGAAGCGUGCUGCAACGCAGGUCGCCGCCAAACAAGAACCUGGACGCUAGCCAGAGGCUCGUCUGAGGCCGGCCGGCCGGGCGGGGCUGGGAGAGUUAACCCAGGGCGGAGGAAGAAGCUCCGGCUCCCCAUUCUCCUCCUAGUGCCUUCAACACUUGGGGGAGGGGGAGGCAGGAAAUGCAAGGGCGGCGGAGGCUAGGACCCCCGCGCCUCCAAGUUGGGAGGCGCGGCGUUGCACCCCAGUAAACCUGCGACCUGGCGUGAUCCCCGACAGCGUCCCGGCCAGCUUGCUUUCCAGAAGAGUCACCCAAAGGAGAUGGCGAGAAGCAGAGUCCCUCAGGAUCCGUCCAGUCCCGUCAGAUGAGCGCUCUCUACGAAGAGGUGCGCCGCGCAACGCUGCAUGCGCGGCUGGGAAGCUGGAGUCCGACGAGUGCAAGCUCACUCCAGGGGAAAGUCCCGGACACAACUAAGUCGAGUUCUGAGGGAUGGCUCCCGGAAGCUGUUGACACCAGCUAGCGAGCGCUAAGUUUCGCUGCAGGACCAGGCGAUGCAGCUGUGGCAUCCGGGGCUCUGAAGAAGGCUACACCGACAAGCACGUAGGGAAAUAUAGAAUCCGCCCCUGAGAAGCACAUUGAAGAGAAUACACCGUGUGAGAGCAGAGGUCUGUUAUUUUCUACAAGUCGGUCAUGGAAAGCUGUGAAGACAACAUAUCCAUUCGAUCUGUGUAUCACAGUGACUAGACUAGACAGAGCAUGAAAGGAAAAAGAUGGGCACCAACUUGUCAAACCUUUGGGCCUAGCUUUUAUGUCAUCUUUUCCAGAAAGUUUUUACAACCCCUUUUAGGGCUCCAGGAUACCUUAUCCUGGCACUAAUCACACGAGGGACCUGCCAGUCCCACCACUGAGCUCCUAAGGCUGACUUUACUACUUAGUCUUUGUGAUCCUUGCACCGACAUAGCAGAGCCUUUCCUCGCCAGCAUAACCUGCCUCCCUUAUUUCUUUGGACAGCCUUCAAGGCCAAUAACAUAUUAGAGACUUGGAGGAAAUGCCGCAUUAAAGUUUGUAUCUGCUUU